GAAAUGCGAUAAGUAAUGUGAAUUGCAGAAUUCAGUGAAUCAUCGAAUCUUUGAACGCACCUUGCGCUCCUUGGUAUUCCUUGGAGCAUGCCUGUUUGAGUAUCAUGAAAUCUUCAAAGUAAAUCUUUUGUUAACUCAAUUGGUUUCUACUUUGGUAUUGGAGGUCUUUGCAGCUUCACACCUGCUCCUCUUUGUUCAUUAGCUGGAUCUCAGUGUUAUGCUUGGUUCCACUCGGCGUUAUAAGUUAUCUAUCGCUGAGGACACUGUAAAAGGUGGCCAAGGUAAAUGCAGAUGAACCGCUUCUAAUAGUCCAUUGACUUGGACAAUACUUUUAUGAUCUGAUCUCAAAUCAGGUAGGACUACCCGCUGAACUUAAGC
rnacentral:misc_RNA from 1 species